AGUGAACGCUGGCGGUAGGCCUAACACAUGCCAGUCGAACGGCAGCACAGUAAGAGCUUGCUCUUACGGGUGGCGAGUGGCGGACGGGUGAGGAAUACAUCGGAAUCUACUUUUUCGUGGGGGAUAACGUAGGGAAACUUACGCUAAUACCGCAUACGACCUACGGGUGAAAGCAGGGGAUCUUCGGACCUUGCGCGAUUGAAUGAGCCGAUUUCGGAUUAGCUAGUUGGCGGGGUAAAGGCCCACCAAGGCGACGAUCCGUAGCUGGUCUGAGAGGAUGAUCAGCCACACUGGAACUGAGACACGGUCCAGACUCCUACGGGAGGCAGCAGUGGGGAAUAUUGGACAAUGGGCGCAAGCCUGAUCCAGCCAUACCGCGUGGGUGAAGAAGGCCUUCGGGUUGUAAAGCCCUUUUGUUGGGAAAGAAAAGCAGCAGGUUAAUACCCCGCUGUUCUGACGGUACCCAAAGAAUAAGCACCGGCUAACUUCGUG
rnacentral:rRNA from 1 species